rnacentral:rRNA from 1 species
UCUACGGGAGGCAGCAGUGAGGAAUAUUGGUCAAUGGGCGCGAGCCUGAACCAGCCAAGUAGCGUGAAGGAUGACUGCCCUACGGGUUGUAAACUUCUUUUAUAAAGGAAUAAAGUGCGGCACGUGUGCCUUUUCGUAUGUACCUUAUGAAUAAGGAUCGGCUAACUCCGUGCCAGCAGCCGCGGUAAUACGGAGGAUCCGAGCGUUAUCCGGAUUUAUUGGGUUUAAAGGGGGCGUAGAUGGGUUGUUAAGUCAGUUGUGAAAGUUUGCGGCGCAACCCUAAAAUUGCAAUUGAUACUGGCAGCCUUGAGUACAGUUGAGGUAGGCGGAAUUCGUGGUGUAGCGGUGAAAUGCUUAGAUAUCACGAAGAACUCCGAUUGCGAAGGCAGCUUACUAAACUGCAACUGACAUUGAUGCACGAAAGUGUGGGUAUCGAACAGGAUUAGAUACCCCUGUAGUC